rfam:Triticum aestivum genome assembly, contig: Triticum_aestivum_CS42_TGACv1_scaffold_220932_3B
AAAGUGCUCCCUCCGUCCCAAAAUUCUUGUCUUAGAUUCGUCUAGAUACAGAUCUAUCAAGUCACAUUUUAGUGUUAGAUACAUACGUAUCUAGACAAAUCUGAGACAAGAAAUUUGGGACAGAGGGAGUAGUUG